GAUGAAGAACGUAGCGAAAUGCGAUAAGUAAUGCGAAUUGCAGAAUUUCCGUGAGUCAUCGAAUCUUUGAACGCACAUUGCGCCCACUGGUAUUCCGGUGGGCAUGCCUGUUCGAGCGUCAUUAUCCCCCCUCAAACCCCGUGUUUGGUGUUAGACCCAAGUUGUGUGAACAACUGGUCUCAAAGACAAUGACGGCGUCCGUGGGACCCUCGGUGCAACGAGCUUUUAGGAGCACGCGCUGAGUCUCAAGGACCCUCCGGGCCGGUCUCCUAUUUAUCAUCAAGGUUGACCUCGGAUCAGGUAGGAAUACCCGCUGAACUUAAGCAUAUCAAUAAGCGGAGGA
rnacentral:misc_RNA from 1 species